rnacentral:rRNA from 1 species
AUACGUAGGUGGCAAGCGUUAUCCGGAAUUAUUGGGCGUAAAGAGGGAGCAGGCGGCAGCAAGGGUCUGUGGUGAAAGCCUGAAGCUUAACUUCAGUAAGCCAUAGAAACCAGGCAGCUAGAGUGCAGGAGAGGAUCGUGGAAUUCCAUGUGUAGCGGUGAAAUGCGUAGAUAUAUGGAGGAACACCAGUGGCGAAGGCGACGAUCUGGCAUGCAACUGACGCUCAGUCCCGAAAGCGUGGGGAGCAAAUAGGAUUAGAUACCCUAGUAGUCCACGCCGUAAACGAUGAGUACUAAGUGUUGGAUGUCAAAGUUCAGUGCUGCAGUUAACGCAAUAAGUACUCCGCCUGAGUAGUACGUUCGCAAGAAUGAAACUCAAAGGAAUUGACGGGG